GGGAGGUAGUGACAAUAAAUAACAAUACGGGGUUCUUUCGGAUCUCGUAAUUGGAAUGAGUACAAUUUAAAUCUCUUAACGAGGAACAAUUGGAGGGCAAGUCUGGUGCCAGCAGCCGCGGUAAUUCCAGCUCCAAUAGCGUAUAUUAAAGUUGUUGCAGUUAAAAAGCUCGUAGUUGAAUUUCGGGAUCAAUUUAUCGGUCGUGCCUACGGUAUGAACUGGUACAAUUGGUUUCUCCCUUCUGACGAAGCAUGAUGCCAUUAAUUUGGUGUCGUGGGGAAUCAGGACUGUUACUUUGAAAAAUUAGAGUGUUUAAAGCAGGCUAACGCUUGAAUACAUUAGCAUGGAAUAAUGAAAUAGGACGUUCGAUCCUAUUUUGUUGGUUUCUAGGAUUGACGUAAUGAUUAAUAGGGAUAGUUGGG
rnacentral:rRNA from 1 species